AUGAAGAAGUGUCUGAUUCUGCUGUCAGUUCUGGCGGUCCAGUUUCUGGGAUUGAAAGCUGCUCCAUCUGUGACUCAGUCACCGUUGUCAAAGUCGGUAAGAGUCGGGGAGACGGUCUCUCUGAGCUGUACGGCCAGUGAAGGAAUGGAUGAUGAUCUCAGCUGGUACCUGCAGAAACCUGGACAGCCUCCCAAACUGCUGUUUUACCAAAUAACUCUGAGUGAAUCUGACACUCCAGCUCAUUACAGCAGUGAUGGGUCUGAACCUGAAUUCACGCUGACCAUCACUGGAUUUCAGGCUCAAGAUGCUGGAGAUUAUUAUUGUAUGGGAGCAUAUACCGGUGGUGUGUUAACACAGUGA